rnacentral:rRNA from 1 species
GACGAACGCUGGCGGCGUGCUUAACACAUGCAAGUCGAACGGAAAGGCCCUGCUUUUGUGGGGUGCUCGAGUGGCGAACGGGUGAGUAACACGUGAGUAACCUGCCCUUGACUUUGGGAUAACUUCAGGAAACUGGGGCUAAUACCGGAUAGGAGCUCCUGCUGCAUGGUGGGGGUUGGAAAGUUUCGGCGGUUGGGGAUGGACUCGCGGCUUAUCAGCUUGUUGGUGGGGUAGUGGCUUACCAAGGCUUUGACGGGUAGCCGGCCUGAGAGGGUGACCGGCCACAUUGGGACUGAGAUACGGCCCAGACUCCUACGGGAGGCAGCAGUGGGGAAUAUUGCACAAUGGGCGGAAGCCUGAUGCAGCAACGCCGCGUGCGGGAUGACGGCCUUCGGGUUGUAAACCGCUUUCGCCUGUGACGAAGCGUGAGUGACGGUAAUGGGUAAAGAAGCACCGGCUAACUACGUGCCAGCAGCCGCGGUGAUACGUAGGGUGCGAGCGUUGUCCGGAUUUAUUGGGCGUAAAGGGCUCGUAGGUGGUUGAUCGCGUCGGAAGUGUAAUCUUGGGGCUUAACCCUGAGCGUGCUUUCGAUACGGGUUGACUUGAGGAAGGUAGGGGAGAAUGGAAUUCCUGGUGGAGCGGUGGAAUGCGCAGAUAUCAGGAGGAACACCAGUGGCGAAGGCGGUUCUCUGGGCCUUUCCUGACGCUGAGGAGCGAAAGCGUGGGGAGCGAACAGGCUUAGAUACCCUGGUAGUCCACGCUGUAAACGGUGGGUACUAGGUGUGGGGUCCAUUCCACGGGUUCCGUGCCGUAGCUAACGCUUUAAGUACCCCGCCUGGGGAGUACGGCCGCAAGGCUAAAACUCAAAGGAAUUGACGGGGCCCCGCACAAGCGGCGGAGCAUGCGGAUUAAUUCGAUGCAACGCGUAGAACCUUACCUGGGUUUGACAUGGAUCGGGAGCGCUCAGAGAUGGGUGUGCCUCUUUUGGGGUCGGUUCACAGGUGGUGCAUGGCUGUCGUCAGCUCGUGUCGUGAGAUGUUGGGUUAAGUCCCGCAACGAGCGCAACCCUUGUUCACUGUUGCCAGCACGUUAUGGUGGGGACUCAGUGGAGACCGCCGGGGUCAACUCGGAGGAAGGUGGGGAUGACGUCAAGUCAUCAUGCCCCUUAUGUCCAGGGCUUCACGCAUGCUACAAUGGCUGGUAUAGAGAGUGGCGAGCCUGUGAGGGUGAGCGAAUCUCGGAAUGCCGGUCUCAGUUCGGAUUGGGGUCUGCAACUCGACCUCAUGAAGUCGGAGUCGCUAGUAAUCGCAGAUCAGCAACGCUGCGGUGAAUACGUUCCCGGGGCU